GGCUAGUGACAGAAUGAAGAAGAUCAGUUUAAAAUGUGCUUUACAACCAGAGGUUGCAUUAUUUUGACAGACAAGGGCUGUAAGAAAAUUGUCAAAAUCAAUAAUAAUAUGAGCCAACAGCCAAACAAUAACAACUAAACUCAAUCAACUAUCUUAAUCUGCCUGAACUCAAAUCUUGUGGUCUAUAAAGUGGGAGUUUAUCUGUGUGUAAUUCAACCAUCAUGUUAGACUGAAGGAAUUGCAGUUAUCAUUAGAUUUCCCGACAGCACUGGACAAAUGACUUCUCACACUCAGUGUGACUUGAGACAAAGGAUAAACAAAGACAUUGAGUAUGUUUACAUGCACAUAAUAAGAGGACAAUUAUCCUAUUAUGAUAUUAUAAAAAUCAGCUUAUUACAUUAACAUGUUUCAAGCGUUUUAAUUUACUUUUAUUUGUGAAGUUUAUCUAUCACAGGUGGAGACAUACGCACAUACGAAACGGCAAAAAAGACGUUAAAAUCUGGUUUAAGAGCAAAAAAACUACCUGUGCCAAUCAGUUUUUGCCAUUUAUGGGCUUUACCCUAUAAAAGAAAACCAUUUUAUGCAUUUAAAUGACCUUACACGUUAUCAGUUUAUUAAGCGUUUAGACUAUGUAGACACACUCACUGUGCACUAAAAUUAAAAAAAUUGGUUAACACGACCACUCGUGGUGGCUUCACUCAGAGGUUGGAGAAGACAACCGGUGGACUAAACAUCAAGCCUCUGCACGAUUCAGAAUUAAGACAACCUUAGCAGGAGAGCCCCAGCAGUAACUUUCUCUCAAGCAGAUGAGCAAUAAGUUGCUAACACCACCCUAACAAUCAAGUAGCCUGUUAACAGUAGACCAAAGGUAUGAUGAUCAAUUAUAAAUGCAAUAUGGUUGAAAGGUCAGUAAACAAACAACAAAAAGGUAAUUUCUUAAUAGAAUGUCUAUACAUUUUUUGCUUUUGUUACAUAUUUCAUACAUCAAAAUCAUUAAACGUUAAUAAUUAUGUAUUCCAACUUGUUGCAGCUUGACAAAAAUGUAGCUUGAAGGAGAAGGGACAGCUGAGUAACAAAGUCCUGGUAUGCAGACGACGAUACUAUUACACUGACAAGAGUGUAAUGAUGAUGGAGACACAAGCCAGAGAAAGGGGGGACCAAACACCAGGCCAGAAUUCUGCAUGAGUCAGAUCCAGUGGGUGCAGAUCAUCAUACAGAUGGUUCAAGUGUGGAUCCACCUAAUAUUCAAGAUUUUCUGUCCUGGGACACUCGGCUAACCAUCAAGAAAGAACACAGUAGGUUAACAAGAAUCUGACCUCACGUUUGAUCAUUACAAAAUUAUGGCAGUACAUUACACAUUUAAGGACUGUUAUUCCUCUGGCUGAUUUAAAAAUACCCAAAAGUUCUUAAAAAGAAGCAGCCCUAGUUAUUUUGGCUUGUUAAACAUAAACUAUAUAGACAUAACUAUUGCGACACCUCCUUCUAAUAAACAGGUUUAAAUACUUUACUUAUUUCCAUGAGCACAAAUCUUAAUGCUACAGCAUAUGAUAUUCUAGAAAAACCGUUUGAUGCUAAAUUUAUAGCAAGAGUUUUGGCAGGGCCCUUUUCAAUACCAACUUAAGAAUGACCCUACAAACAAAGUAAGGUUCAAACAGAAAAUUAGUGAUUCAGUCUGGUGUGGAAGAACUUUGACUGGUCUGAAUAGACCUUAACUCAGCUAACACCUUUGAUAUGACUCAAAGGUUUUUAGCCAAAAACUCAUCACCUAAACCUAUCAAUGACUUGUACAAGAAGCUGUAGUCAUUUCGGAACAGAAAAAGGCACUUACAAAACUGUUGCAACAAAAAUCAAAAUUCUUUGUAGUGGUAUUAUAUGGUAUAGCAUUUUUAUUUGUUUUGAUUGGACAUACUGGAAUAAAUAAACAUGUUUAUUAGAAUGAGGCCUCCCAAUACUUUUGUCUAGUGUAUUUGCCACAGACAGGGUAACGCAAUCCUUAGAGUGUGCUUCUUUGUAAAUGUGACAAAUGAAAAUGACCUGAUCCAUCAUUUCCAGCUCCAGUGGGCAUCCUUUAUCCAUCCAGACCCUCAUACAGAUGGUUGGAGUUUUGAUUCACCUAAAGUACCAUGCAAGAGAACUCAUUUUCCCUCUUGAGACCAUGGUGUGACCUGCAAGGUCGAAUGGAGACUGUAAGCGAGACAAUCUUGGAGUCACCUGCAUUCACUGGUCCAGUUGUUAGUCCAAUUACAGAUGGAGAUUAUAGAAGAGAAUGAUGUCUUUUCUCCAACAUCUUUCUAGACUGAUAAAAGAUCAAGACAGGCUUGAACAAAAGUUAACAGAGGGGCUUAUAUAGAGAAUGGUGAGCAGCUACACAUAAAAGAAGAACAUGGAGAAUCUGCCCAGAGGUGUUAACCAGCAAUGCAGCUAUACAACUUAAGUGAUGCAGGCGGAAACAAUAAUGCAGCUGCUGCAGAUGAAGAAUCCGUCCGUCUACCACCGAAGGAGACGCGGAAAAUCGGGAAAAGAUGUUCUUUGCCCGAGGAAGCAUUUGAUUAAUUUAAAGAUAUUGUGUUUCUUUGUAUGUUAUAGAAAAACGUUGCUUUUUUGCAUACACUCGUGUAAAUAUGCAUCUUAUGAAUGUUUUCCUUUGUCUAAUUUUAAUAAAUUUUACGCAAUCAA